AUUGAACGCUGGCGGCAUGCCUUACACAUGCAAGUCGAACGCGAAAGGGGGGCAACCCCUGAGUAGAGUGGCGCACGGGUGAGUAAUGCAUCGGAACGUGUCCUGUAGCGGGGGAUAACCUAGCGAGAGCUAGGCUAAUACCGCAUACGCCCUAAGGGGGAAAGUGGGGGAUCGUAAGGCCUCACACUAUAGGAGCGGCCGAUGCCGGAUUAGCUAGUUGGUGGGGUAAAAGCUCACCAAGGCGACGAUCCGUAGCUGGUCUGAGAGGAUGAUCAGCCACACUGGGACUGAGACACGGCCCAGACUCCUACGGGAGGCAGCAGUGGGGAAUUUUGGACAAUGGGGGAAACCCUGAUCCAGCCAUGCCGCGUGAGUGAAGAAGGCCUUCGGGUUGUAAAGCUCUUUCGGCCGGGACGAAAUCGCACGCGUGAAUAUCGUGUGCGGAUGACGGUACCGGCAGAAGAAGGACCGGCUAACUACGUGCCAGCCGCCGCGGUAA
rnacentral:rRNA from 1 species